rnacentral:rRNA from 1 species
CAGCUCCAAUAGCGUAUAUUAAAGUUGUUGCAGUUAAAAAGCUCGUAGUUGAAUUUCGGGGUUAGUAGUUUGGUCAUGCCUCUGGUAUGUACUGGUCUCACUGAUUCCUCCUUCCUGAUGAGCCGUAAUGCCAUUAAUUUGGUGUUGCGGGGAAUUUGGACUGUUACUUUGAAAAAAUUAGAGUGUUUAAAGCAAGCUAACGCUUGAAUACAUUAGCAUGGAAUAAUGAAAUAGGACGUUCGAUCCUAUUUUGUUGGUUUCUAGGAUUGACGUAAUGAUUAAUAGGGAUAGUUGGGGGCAUUAGUAUUCAAUUGUCAGAGGUGAAAUUCUUGGAUUUAUUGAAGACUAACUACUGCGAAAGCAUUUGCCAAGGAUGUUUUCAUUAAUCAAGAACGAAAGUUAGGGGAUCGAAGACGAUCAGAUACCGUCGUAGUCUUAACCAUAAACUAUGCCGACUAGGGAUCGGAUGAUGUUAAUUUUUUAAUGACUCA